CCUUCGGGUUGUAAGCUCUUUGUCAGGGAAGAAACGGUGGUUUCUAAUACAGAUCACUAAUGACGGUACCUGAAGAAUAAGCACCGGCUAACUACGUGC
rnacentral:rRNA from 1 species